UUUAUUUGCAUGCAAAUGAUUUCACUAAUAUAAAUCUGUGGUAAUAAUUUAAUUAUAUGAUAAGAUAGAGAAAUGUGGUCAAAUAUAUUAGAGUUAUUAUAUUAUGUGUGAGUAUAUAUGUAAAUAUAUUUGUGUGAAGAGUAUGUAUGUGUAGUGUAUAUGUAUGUA